UAUUUAAAUUGUGCAGUCAAAAGACGUAAAAAUGUAGUUAACAUAUAAUUUCCAAUGUUUUGAUAAAGGCAUUAUGCCGAAACGUCAAUUAAAGGAGUAUAAUCAGAGAGCCAACUUUUUUGUUUACAUACAUUUAACAUUUAUAUUUGUAGAGUAUUAUUUACACCAAUAUAAUACGUAAUGAAAAAGAAAUUAAUUAUUUCCAGACGAGCGGACAGGGAUGUUAACGGAAAUGACCGGAUAUGUAGCUGUCAUUUUGUAGAUGGCAAGAAAGCAAAUGGACAAACUAUUUUUGAUUACCAGAAGAAAGAUCUACAUUUCCCAGAAAUGUACACACCUAAAAGAUGCAAAAGGCCAAAGUUGAUGGAAAGGGAAGAUGUGAAAGAAAGCAUACCAGUAGAUGUCCCUACAAUUUCCCAGGACCAUAAUUAUCACACGCAUGACUACAGGUGACAUUGAUGCUUAACUACCAACAAAAUCUAUUCAAGAGUUAGAAAGGGAAAUAGCCCGUCUAGAGGGUGAACUUAGCCGAUUGAAAGUGCGCCCAUCCAAAAUGUCGGUUCAGGACAUUAUUGGUGACAAUGAUAAGAUGCUGUUAUACACAUCUUUUCCUGUCAUUGUCUUCCAAGUCCUGGUGGGUGUUCUGAAGAGGUUAGCUCCUUUCAACUACUAUGCUGGCUGGACUGUAACCUGCUUCAGCAUAGAGGAUCAACUCUUAAUCACCCUUAUGAAAUUACGUCUGAAUUGCACUCAGUUAUGCAAUUAUAACCAAAUUAUGUCGAUAUAUUUAUUGUAGUAGUAAUUUUAUAUAACUCUAUUUUUAUAUUGUUAUAAACAAUAUUUCGAAACUUUAGAUAAAUAAGUUUACAUUUUUACAUUAAUGUUAACCAGCUAAUGAGUUUCUAGUAAAAUAUUGUGCAUUGUUAAAAUGGUAGUUUUCCCAGAACGCUGCUCGCUUUAUUGUUAUUAACCCUUUGCAUGCUGGGAAAUUUGUCGUCUGCUAAAAUGUCUUCUGCUGAAUUUCUAAAAUUAGCAUUUUCUUCAUUUUUUUUUCAAAAAAUACUUUCAGAAUAGCAAACAGUUUGGAUCCUGAUGAGGCGCCACGUUUUGUGGCGUCUCAUCUGGAUCCAAACUGUUUGCAAAGGCCAUUAAAAUACGGUUCCAGCGCUGAAAGGGUUAAUCACUUGUUGUUCAGAACUCUAACUGCAGCUAUAACGUGAAGGGUACUUGCAGACUGAAAGAACAGUUUCUGCAUGAACAUGCAUGCCAUCAUAGAUGAUUAGUAUACCACUGCGAUCGGAAUAUGUCAGGGUUAACAUCAAUAGUAAUUACAGUACAAAUGCCAAGUAUCGUAGCACACCUGUUGUAUAAACAAGAUGAUGCUUGUGCUCGAAGAUUAAGUCAGACCUUUUCUGCAACCGAUCGAUACGUUUUCUGCUCAAUGGCAAUCGAUGCCAUUUUACGAUGGUUUCUUACAGGGAGCUAUCGCGUUGCUUUGUACGAGUAAAUGCAUUUCUUUAUGAUUGUUAGCAUGAUUUAUUAGGCACGGAAAGUGUAGUUAUGCGCUUGAGCUAUUAUACGGGCGAUUAUACGUUUACUCGAAUGCAUUUUAACUGUGUUCCUGUCGGAACAGAUUUGCGAUAUCCGGACAUACGAUCCGAAUAUCCGACGCACAUUUGAGACUUAAACGCCAAUAUGUAAACAUUGACAUUUGUAAAAUGAAGAGAAUAAAUAGGUCUAUAUAUUGAGUUUGGAUAAUUUAUCCGAAUGUAUGCGUAGUUGCGAAUUAACAAAACGAGUGAACAAGAGUGAAAGUAAACUACAAUACUUUCUAAUUGACCAUUUGGAUCGCAGUCAAUAUGUCCCCUGUUAGUGUCUAUUCCGAUGUCUGAUUAUAUGAUUUUAUAGCUGAUUACAAUGACCAUAACACACAUUUCAAAGUGGCUUAGCAAGUUGUAAUUGUCUGUUGAUCUGGAAAAUCUAAAACCAUUGCGUAAUGUAGGUAUUAUGAUUCGAUAUUCUGUUGUAUUGUUAUCUAAUCUGAAUCGCAUGCUUUUAUGUCAAUUUUUAUUUACAAUUAACAGGCUUUUUUAACGGCGGUGACCCGUGUUUUAUCAUUUUCAUGUUUUCAUGUGAGAAUUUUUUUUGGGUUACUGCAUGUUUUGUUGUGGAUGCAUUUUUACAAAAUAAAUACUUUCGGUUGGUAACUGGAGUUUCCUUCCUGUUG